rnacentral:sRNA from 1 species
CACCACUGCAAGAGGGGAAGUUGCUACUGUGAUGAAUUCUGCCAUGUGGCACCAGACUGCCACCCAGACCACAGUGUCCUCUGCAACCCUGCUUCUCAGAUGACCAAGAUGGUGCUGCAGAUGGUGCUGAGGAUGGAGAACCCACCAAGCCCCGCUAGGAGCCACCUAGACUGGAUGCAGAGCAUGGACAAUUUGCUGAGGUCUGGGAGCACCCCCUCCAGAGAGUCCCUGAUCUCUCAAAACUUGGUCGUGAUCUAAAGUUUAUUUGAUGUACAACUCCCCCUCCCCUUCUUUUGGAGUUUUAUUUGCUUCCAAGAAGGAAGGCAAGAUUUCCUGGGUCCGUGAUGAUGGAAGGCUGACAACUCUUUUAUGGAGUUUGAGCUUGCUCCCAGCAGGGAAGACAAGUUCGAGUUUUUUUCCUGCUUCAAGGAUGGUAGAGAGCAGUCUUCAGCCUGAGACCCAUCCCUAGAGAAGGCUUCCAAUGACUCGAGCCCCUUUAAAGGAUCCGGAACAAAGGGGCCACUCACCCCUUCCAGGGUGCU